CGAUGACGUUGACGAUGAUGAUGAUGAUGAUGAUGAUGAUGAUCAUCAUCAUCAUCAUCAUCAUCAUCAUCAUCAUCG
rnacentral:pre_miRNA from 1 species